rnacentral:rRNA from 1 species
GAAAGCGUGGGUAGCGANCAGGAUUAGAUACCCUGGUAGUNCACGCCGUAAACGAUGAGUGCUAGGUGUUAGGCCCUUUCCGGGGCUUAGUGCCGGAGCUAACGCAAUAAGCACUCCGCCUGGGGAGUACGACCGCAAGGUUGAAACUCAAAGGAAUUGACGGGGGCCCGCACAAGCGGUGGAGCAUGUGGUUUAAUUCGAAGCAACGCGAAGAACCUUACCAGGUCUUGACAUCCCGAUGCUAUUCUUAGAGAUAGGAAGUUACUUCGGUACAUCGGAGACAGGUGGUGCAUGGUUGUCGUCAGCUCGUGUCGUGAGAUGUUGGGUUAAGUCCCGCAACGAGCGCAACCCUUAUUGUUAGUUGCCAUCAUUAAGUUGGGCACUCUAGCGAGACUGCCGGUAAUAAACCGGAGGAAGGUGGGGAUGACGUCAAAUCAUCAUGCCCCUUAUGACCUGGGCUACACACGUGCUACAAUGGUCGGUACAACGAGUUGCGAGCCGGUGACGGCAAGCUAAUCUCUGAAAGCCGAUCUCAGUUCGGAUUGGAGGCUGCAACUCGCCUCCAUGAAGUCGGAAUCGCUAGUAAUCGCGGAUCAGCACGCCGCGGUGAAUACGUUCCCGGGCCUUGUACACACCGCCCGUCACACCACGAGAGUUUGUAACACCCGAAGUCGGUGAGGUAACCUUUUAGGGGCCAGCCGCC